rnacentral:tRNA from 1 species
UUCCUGGUGGCUCAGAUGGUAAAGAAUCUGCCUGCAAUGCAGGAGACUCAGGUUCAAGCCCUGGGUUGGAAA